UAUUUCUUUCUCUCUCAUUUUAUGUUUCUCUUCACUUUCACCAUUCCAAACCAUCUCCUUUCGUCUUUCAAGUUCGAAGCCAACAAAAUGCACCCAAAUAGUACACUAUAUGAAACCAAUGUUAAAACACUACCAUUCACCACUGACGGAUCUAAGGGAUUAAUGUUCUUUAUAAUUUUCUUUUGUUAGAUCCAAAGCUUAUUUAUUUAUUUUACCAGAUCCAUGGUAAACUCUGGUACACUAUGAAUACGAAAGCUAAUCACCAUUGAAGGAUCUUCAUUAUUACAAGAUCUUGAAUUAGUAGGUGGAUGGAAAAAUCGAGAAAUGUUGCAGUUAUAUCCAAGUAUGAAUGAAGACUUGCAGUUUAUAUCUAUAAGUGUAAAUGAAAGUUGAGAUUAGAUAAUAUUUGGAUUAUAUUUUUAUUUAAAAGAAACUUCAUAGAUUGUAUCAUAUUGUUUAUGACGAUAGCAUGACUAAUAAUUAAUUUGUAUUAUUGGAGGAUUAAUACAUUUGAAUGUAUAUUUUUUUAGUGUA